rnacentral:tRNA from 1 species
UAGCUCAGUCGGUAGAGCACUUCGUUGGUAACGAAGAGGUCAGCAGUUCGAGUCUGCU